GUUUAAGCUUGAAACCACCACCGAAGAUGAAGAAUCUCUUAAAAGCAGCCAAAGUAAACUGUUUCAUUUUGAGGGAACACUUAAUAGAAUGACAACAGACUGCUCCAUAAUCAUAAAUACUGUAAAACAAAUGUAUGUGGCACAUAUACACCGUGGAAUACUAUGUAGCCAUAAAAAGGAUGAGUUCUUGUCCUUUUCAGGGACAUGGAUGAAGCUGGAAACCAUCAUUCUCAGCAACACAACAACAGAAAACCAAACACCACAUGUUCUCACUCAUAAGUGGGAGUUGAAAAAUGAGAACCCAUGUACACUGGGAGGAGAACAUCACACACUGGGGCCUGUCUGGGGUGGGGAGCCAGGGGAGAGAUAUCACUGGGAUUACUACCUAAUGUAGAUGACGGGUUGAUGGGUGCAGCAAACCACCAUGGUGCGUGUAUAACUAUGUAACAAACCGGAACGUUCUGCACAUGUACCCCAGAACUUAAAGUAUAAUAAUAAAAAAGUUUUAUGUCUUAAUGUUGAUGUUAAAUUAUCAUAAAUUAAAUUAUAUAUAUAUGCAUUUGAAAAAAUUAGGCAAAACAUCAAAUUCAUUUAUUUCAAACUUCG
rnacentral:lncRNA from 1 species